rnacentral:lncRNA from 1 species
UUAGACCAAAGCUACUUAUCAAUAAGCAUGGAUUCUAAUAUGUGUAAUCUCUCUUGUAAAAUAUCAGUUAUUGUUCUUUUAAAUUUCGGUAAUAAGUUUUUUGUUCAUAUUUUAGAAGUGAGCUUCCUCAUUGCUGCUUCCGCAGCUUCUUCUCUUAUUACAUUUUUUGAGCUUUUAAACACAAAGUUAACCUAAUUAAUACUGGAAUUAAACUAAAAUCUGAAAUACAGCAAUUCUUGGAUUCACCCCCAAU